CCUACGGGAGGCAGCAGUGAGGAAUAUUGGUCAAUGGGCGAGAGCCUGAACCAGCCAAGUCGCGUGAGGGAGUACUGCCCUAUGGGUUGUAAACCUCUUUUGUCGGGGAGCAAAAGCCGGACGUGUCCGGCUGUGAGAGUACCCGAAGAAAAAGCAUCGACUAACUCCGUGCCAGCAGCCGCGGUAAUACGGAGGAUGCGAGCGUUAUCCGGAUUUAUUGGGUUUAAAGGGUGCGCAGGCGGAUUUUUAAGUCAGCGGUAAAAUCGUGGGGCUCAACCCCAUCCAGCCGUUGAAACUGGGGAUCUAGAGUGUGCGAGAGGUAUGCGGAAUGCGUGGUGUAGCGGUGAAAUGCAUAGAUAUCACGCAGAACCCCGAUUGCGAAGGCAGCAUACCGGUGCACAACUGACGCUCAGGCACGAAAGCGUGGGUAUCGAACAGGAUUAGAUACCCCAGUAGUC
rnacentral:rRNA from 1 species